UACGGGGGGGGCAAGCGUUGUUCGGAAUUACUGGGCGUAAAGCGCGUGUAGGCGGUUGUUCAAGUUGGAUGUGAAAGCCUUGAGCUCAACUCAAGAAAUGCAUUCAGGACUGAAUGACUAGAGGACCGGAGAGGAUAGUGGAAUUCCCAGUGUAGUGGUGAAAUACGUAGAGAUUGGGAAGAACACCAGUGGCGAAGGCGGCUAUCUGGACGGUUUCUGACGCUAAGACGCGAAAGCGUGGGGAGCAAACAGG
rnacentral:rRNA from 1 species